CGGCCCGCGUCUGAUUAGCUAGUUGGUGAGGUAAUGGCUCACCAAGGCGACGAUCAGUAGCUGGUCUGAGAGGAUGACCAGCCACAUUGGGACUGAGACACGGCCCAAACUCCUACGGGAGGCAGCAGUGGGGAAUCUUGCGCAAUGGGCGAAAGCCUGACGCAGCCAUGCCGCGUGAAUGAUGAAGGUCUUAGGAUUGUAAAAUUCUUUCACCGGGGACGAUAAUGACGGUACCCGGAGAAGAAGCCCCGGCUAACUUCGUGCCAGCAGCCGCGGUAAUACGAAGGGGGCUAGCGUUGCUCGGAAUUACUGGGCGUAAAGGGCGCGUAGGCGGAUCGUUAAGUCAGAGGUGAAAUCCCGGAGCUCAACUUCGGAACUGCCUUUGAUACUGGCGAUCUUGAGUGUGAGAGAGGUAUGUGGAACUCCGAGUGUAGAGGUGAAAUUCGUAGAUAUUCGGAAGAACACCAGUGGCGAAGGCGACAUACUGGCUCAUUACUGACGCUGAGGCGCGAAAGCGUGGGGAGCAAACAGGAUUAGAUACCCUGGUAGUCCACGCCGUAAACGAUGAUUGCUAGUUGUCGGGCUGCAUGC
rnacentral:rRNA from 1 species